GACGAACGCUGGCGGCGUGCUUAACACAUGCAAGUCGAACGGAAAGGCCCUGCUUUUGUGGGGUGCUCGAGUGGCGAACGGGUGAGUAACACGUGAGUAACCUGCCCUUGACUUUGGGAUAACUUCAGGAAACUGGGGAUAAUACCGGAUAGGAGCUCCUGCUGCAUGGUGGGGGUUGGAAAGUUUCGGCGGUUGGGGAUGGACUCGCGGCUUACCAGCUUGUUGGUGGGGUAGUGGCUUACCAAGGCUUUGACGGGUAGCCGGCAUGGGAGGGUGACCGGCCACAUUGGGACUGAGGUACGGCCCAGACUCCAACGGGAGGCAGCAGUGGGGAAUAUUGCACAAUGGGCGGGAGCCUGAUACAGCAACGCCGCGAGCGGGAUGACGGCCUUCGGGUUGUGAACCGCUUUCGCCUGUGACGAAGCGUGAGUGACGGUAAUGGGUAAAGAAGCACCGGCUAACUACGUG
rnacentral:rRNA from 1 species